rnacentral:rRNA from 1 species
AUCAGGAGCUUGCUCCUGUGAUUAGUGGCGAACGGGUGAGUAACACGUGAGUAACCUGCCCCUGACUCUGGGAUAAGCGUUGGAAACGACGUCUAAUACUGGAUAUGAUCACCGGUCGCAUGGCCUGGUGGUGGAAAGAUUUUUGGUUGGGGAUGGACUCGCGGCCUAUCAGCUUGUUGGUGAGGUAAUGGCUCACCAAGGCGACGACGGGUAGCCGGCCUGAGAGGGUGACCGGCCACACUGGGACUGAGACACGGCCCAGACUCC